UGAAGCUCUACUCCUGCUUUCUGGGAACAGAUUGUUUGUCUACUUCAACUGGCAAAGCUGAGUUGUCUCCAGAUUUGCUGGGCACGUCACCGUGGGAUCUGUUAGAGCUGCUAUUUGUUCCUCUCAGCUUCUCACAGAGGCUCUGGACAGCCAUCUGGAUCCAGCUGAUAACUUGGUCUCGGCACAAAGACCAAAACUAGUAGCAAGAUUGGCAGGAGUACAAGGAGGUGACUACAGCAGUCCCAGAUGUUAUUGGUUCUCCUGGUAUGUGGAACAAUAGAUGUUGAAAUUCCUCUCUCCAAAGACAGAGCGUUGGGCAGAAUGGUGCACAGAAUCCUCCUGCAACAUCAACAAAGAAUACAGUAAGGAUCUUAUCCAGUGCUCAGCUGGAUACUGGGAGUUCAAGAACUGUGUUCAGUGACAUAAAACUGAAACACCUACGCGAUACUGGAUGACGCCAACAGUGUUACAUAAAACUAGCCGCUCCAAUGUGAAAAUUGGUUCAGUGCAUCAAAUCUGCAAGAUCAGCACAGCUUUUGUUCAGUUCCAAAUUACCUCAAAAAGCAGCCAAGUGAACUGACCUGUCAUGGACAGAGGCACAAUGCAGCAGUGAAGACAGCUGGAAUAAUAACAAUGCUAAGAGUUUGCCAAACCUCAAGCAAUGCCACUGUAAAUCACUUAUCUUUAAUCAGAUUGUUUCUCCACCAGACCUUCACUAAUUGCACCCUUCUCACUAGUCACCACAGGAUCGCUAGCAAUGAAACAUUACUCAAUCCAUUCCAAAAAAAAAGCAGUAUGUGACUUCUUAGU